GUGAGUUGAGUUUGCAUUUCGUCAGUUCUUGGGCUUCCGUGGCUUGUGAUUCCUAGUUCUUGGUCAUUUAAGCGACGAGAUUGAUAGAGGUCAAUUUCAAGGUAUAGAUAAUACGCUGCAGGAGUCAGAUGAUAUGGAGAGUCCAAAUGAGGAUCUGGAUUAGAUUGGUGAACGUGUCUAAGUUGAGGAGAUGUGGUUAGAAGAAGGUCUUCUGAUGUCCUUAGUUUUAAUGUCUUUGAGUUUUAAUUAUAUUUUCGGGUUUAGUAGGACCCAUGGUUUUAUCAAUUUGGUAUGUUACUAUUACCGGGAGAUUGUGGACCCUUUGAUAUUUUUAUGAUUGCAUUAAAGAUUAUGUGGAGUUUUUAAUGAGAUUAUUGAGAAGAUAUGAGAUUGAUUUCAUUUAUGAAGUUUUUUUUUUGGAGAUUAUUCUUUGGAUGUGUUGGGAGACAUGUUUAUGAGUGACAUGUAGUAAUUCUCCUAGCCAA